UAUCCAUGCUGUGGGCAGCGACGUAAUAAGUCUUUGAACCUUUCCCAAGCUUCAUAAAAGGGCUCUUGAUCUUGUUGUCAGAAUUGCCCAAUUUCACUAUGCAGUUG